rnacentral:lncRNA from 1 species
AGGUGCUACUAUCAAGGGUGCACUGUAUUUAAACACCCCACUGAAUAUCAGCUAUAGUAAGCAUUAAGAGUAUUAGCUCAUCCUCUAAUCAAUACAGUUGGUACUACGCAUCAUAGGGAAGGGUUUGGAAUAAAUCCAAUGUAGUACCCCCACAGACCACUCCAAUAACUUUGUUGUCCCAUUGAACCUUGACCAUGGGAUCUCCAAUUGCAAGGUUGGGUUUCCAUUAUAGGUGAUCUAAUACAUAAUAGGCUUUAGCCCCAUCCCCCUCGAUGUUUGUUGAAUUAGCUCUCUAGCCAAUCCUUUAGUUAAUGGGUCAGCAAUGUUAUCACUUGACUUCACAUAGUCAAU